UCUCGAUAGCGUAAAAGUUAACUAGAAUUUGUAUGGAGUUGGAAAGUUUGGCUGCGUUUGCCGCUAGGGGCGCUGUCCCAACUGCAUACAAAUUUAAGUAAACUUUUACGCUAACGA
rnacentral:pre_miRNA from 9 species